CGACACCCCAUCACUCCUGCGCAUGCUUCCAAAGAUCACAACAUCACACGUGCAGACACCUGUCCCAGCAGAAAAACUAAGGGAAAUGGGGUCCUGUUUGGCUACAGGAUUCGCCAUAUUUUUUUUUAAUGGUGUGUCCUCCACUGAUGGAUAAUCUGUUCACCUUAAAAAUAAAAGAUUGUCUGGUUCUUCCAUGGAUGUGAGAGGAAAGACACCAUCCUCACUGUCCACCAUCAGCAUUGGAGCAUUGAAACAGCUGUUACCUGCAAGAGACUGGACCACUGAAGUCAGGUGAUUGAUCUUCAUGUCUCCAGAAUUGCCCUCUCAACAGCUGCAAUACAGUAGGUUUGUCUGGGAGAGUAUCUUUAUUAAACUAUAAAAUGCAUAAUUUUACAAAUUUAGAACUUCAAUUUAAUGUACGUAUACAUUGAUCAGUGGUGCAACUCCAUCCUCUCACACCAGAAGCACCUGCAAGCACAAAAAGCUCUUAAAUGUGAUUAAACCACCACUUAUAAAAAUGCUGUUGUAGCGAAUGCUAUGGUUACUUGUUUAAAGCCUUUAACAAUUGCAUUGCUUAAAAACAAAAAACAUUGUGCAUAUCUAGGGGAUUGGUUGCUUGUAUGUAUGAAUGUAGUUAUGAAAUGCUUACAGCUGCACAUGUGACCCAUGUUAGUUUUUUUAAUACGUUAUGCAUCUAAGGGCAAACAUUACCAUAUUGGUCCUAAUUGGUCCUAAUGUAAUGUUAGAUUUCUCUAAAACACAAAAAAGGGAAUACACAAUUUUGAAGCCUGGUAUUUGGACGCAUGUGAUAAACCAUCACAUUUGGCAAGAAGCGAAAAGCCCCUGCACAUUUGUCUUUAAAAGAUCCAAGGUCUAUUCAUUAGCCACAGAGAAAUUCACAGAAAUCAGAGGCAACUAUAAGGAGUGUCCUGGCAACAUUAACAUAAAAAGAGACAGAGCCUGAAAUGAAUAGCUCACUGGUGCUCAAGUGUUUAAUUAAAAACACUGAUGACUCCCUGCACACUGGCUGUUCCAAGCAUGCGAUGUCUGGUAACUUGCGUGUGCAGAUAGCCAAAGAAUUGUGUGAGGGUAGAAUGGAACCCCAUGUAUGGAGGGCAUCAGAGGCAACAAAGCUGAUGGAUCCAAAAGCUGGAAGAUCCUGAGCCUAGCUAUCUGCCUAAUUUGGCCACCCUGCACAAAGCAAAGCAAGAGAGAAAUGACUUAGAAUUAGGCGACAAGGAUCCUAUUUUGUCACUGCAGAUGCUAAAAUACAGUGCACCUCAUAGUGGUAGCAUUAAAGACAUUGGACUGGACAAGUUUUUCUGUCACUACUCGGCUGACAGAAUGGAUACGUUCAGUUGCACCAAUUCCAAAAGAGGUUGUGAGUAACUUUUCUGUGGCUUUGCUCAGAGCUCUGGUCAAGGCUUUUACUCCUCAUCCUGAUCUGAAGACCUAUAUCAAUGAGUGUUGUCGUGUCUUAGUCGAUAAAGAGUCAGCAAAACUGUCACCUUGUUUUGUUCAGGUUGAUGUUGCACACUGCAUCAAGUUGAUCUGCCAGUGGGACUGCUUGAAGAAAAAAAAAUUGCAUUAAAGAUUUCUUUGUGAGGUCAACAGCACAGCUUCUCAAGUCACAGUCCACGGAAAAUUCAAGAGAGCUACUAAGCAGUAUUACUAUUGUGGCUCUCAGCAAAGCAGAGGGCAGUGACAGCUCUGGAGCCCUUCUUAUAUCAGAAAGGUGCAAGAAAUACCUGAAAGUCCGAAUUGCAGAAGAGUGUGUAAUCAUUCCAGAUGUAGAGGGUGAAGACUUGGAAGAAGUGGAUACAUGUAACCAAACACAGACAGACCUACAGCAGUAGGUGACAGACAUAUGUGAGGAGAACCGGUCACUUGCCGUGGCCAACGGUGAUCAUGAUAAUAUGCACUUCCUCCCUGAGAUUAUUCCCAAUAUAAUCUGGCUUUCAAGUCAGGGGUCAUGGUCCGUCUCUUACGAAGCACCAUCACCGCAAGUUGAGCCAAUAUUGAGGCACUGUUCAAAAAUAUCAAACGUGCACUUUUCAAGCAUGAAAACUUGCCUAUUUGGGUGGAUAGAUUCAUUGCUCGACAUCUGUCCUUCAUUGAAGGAAAUAUGUGAAUUUGUUCUGCAAAACAAAAUGGUGAAGAAGAUGCAGCUGUUGCAACAGGGAUCAUCACAGGAGCCAAUCCACUACCCACCACAACUUGCAGUGUAGACGGAAAACCAGAAAUAGAUGCUUCCUGUUCUGGGAAGUCUGACACUGUCACAAACAUCCAUCCAACAGAUGAAGAUGCUGUUGAAAACUGGAGAGGCCUAGUGGUUUCACCCAAAAAGAGGAAGAGGAAGUCAUACCUCUCUCCUUGUCCUGAAUAGCUCCAUGCAGAUCCAUCUGUGAGGGGGAAAAGACUAAAAGUGGAAGUGUUGAAAAAUGGAAAUAAUAAACAGCCUGUUAAACUCAGGAAAUCAAGAAUCUUUGUGCUGAACACAUGUGCAUUUGAUGCUGUUUGUCAAUGCUUAUGUUGUGCUUUCUGCGAUAGUGUCACUUUUGGAAAUAUUGUUUUCGGUGAGGACUCCAACAACCUCCUCCAGCUAGUGAAAACAAUCAGCACAAAGGGUCUGAAUGCACAGGUCUCCAUACAGAGGGCAGAGCUGCUGAGUGGAAUAUUCAAAGCUGUCCAAUUGAAGUCUGGUGCUCUCCAAAUCGAUGCACAGUGCUACAUAUCCACUAUCAUUAUCAAAGUGAUAAAAACGUGACAAAACGUGCAUGUGUUUUCUUCACACAACAGUGUUCCUCACAGUAUUGCAGUCUCAGCACAGAAGUCACAAGGGAAAUUCCAUUUUUUUGUACUUCUGUUGCUGUACUGCAGGCCUCUGGCAUGGCUCAUCUUCAGACCGCGGUGGAAGAAGGCCUUAACCUUCCGGAGUCCCCCUGCCUUAGGCCAAUCCAAAGUCCGUCACAGUGUCCCUCUGCAUUCAAGACAGACUCUACCUCAGAAAAAGUGCUCUGUGCAGGGAAAGUUUCUCACAGUUACAGUCUGGGAGAACUUCUGUGGAUUGGCACUGACCUGGGAAGCACCUCCACAGAAUUUCCUGUGUGUGAAUUUCCCUCCAAUCUGAUGCUCCAAGGAGAGAGAUUUACUUUAAGGGCAGUCAUUGCUUUCAGAGGAGGCUUAACCCAGGAUGCUCUUAGACAUUAUAUGGCCUACUGCAGGAGGUCUCCAUGUGUCUGGGAGAUGUAUGACGACCUGACCAGUAGAGUGACAGGACUGUCAGAAAAAAAACAAAAUAUGCCCACAUGCUGUGUUAUACACAAAAGACUGAUUGCACUGUUUAAAUUUAACUUUACAAGUUCAAGUAUUUUUGUUGUAGGCCACACACAGUUUUCCUACUCCUGCUUGGAGAAGUCUUCUUUGCUUUUCUGGAAGUCUGGCUUGAUGGUGUUUCUACUCAAGUCUUGGUUUGAAGACAGAGAGUGGCUUGUCAGUAUUAAGUUUAAGUUUUUAAAGGUCCAUUAUUUGUGUUAAUGGAUGUUUGAUAGUACACAGUAAUUCAAUUUCACAAGUAAAAGCAUUUUGGCUUAAUUCUUAAUUCACUGAGUCAUCCACACACAUGCGCGUGUGUGUUUGUGUGUGUGUGUGUGACACACACAUACGCCCUAUGUAUGUAUAAACACAGAGCUACAGCAAACAGAUUAUGGUGCGUGUAUUUAUUUAUGACAGUGUUAAUGUUACUGCUGUUAUUCACAUAACAUACAGUAACAAGUAAAAACACUUACGUUGGAGUUCGUGUGACAUUUCACACAUCAUGUGAUCCGCUGUGUCCAUUAAAAGUGUCCGUUAAAAGUUGAAAAUCCACAGUGGUUAGGUAACAAUUAAGUGAAUGCGACUAUUUAAUGUGAUUUGAUUUGUUGUUUGGAUUUUACAUUGUUAUUUCAACUGUAUUGUUUAAAAAAAAAACAAAAAUGGCACAAACCAGCACAAACAGAACACAAACAAACCAGACUAUUUUGGGUGAAUUUGGAGCAUGUGUGGGGCUGAGUGACCUCAGAAUGACUUAUAAAAUAUUAUAUUAAUAUACCAAAAACUGAAGCAGCACAAAUGAAAAAUUUUUAUGGCACAAACCAGCACAAAUGGAGCACAAACGAUUGAGAAUAUUUUGCCAACAAUGGGGGGCCAACUUCACGCAGGUUCUUGUAACAGGACCUGAAAAAAAGACACUUAUGUCUAGCAAUCAUUUAACUGGUUUCAUUGUAUUUUUACCUUUUGCCUUGAUGAUGGCACGCGGGGCUUUUGGUGCAGGUGGAACUUUUUCUUUAUUACUAAUUUAUUUUAUUUUUUUGUGGGGGUAUCAUGAAGCUCAUCAUCUGAUGAGUAAAUAUUCUUUCUAAGACCAAAAUCAGGGUAUUAGAUUAUUUUACAAAGAAGGAUUUGAUAAGUAAUAACACUGCCCUGUUUGUCAACUGAAAGAAAAAAAUCUACCCAACAAAAACCAUUAUGUUUUGCAACCGUGGCAGUCAAGCUCUAAAAAGGGUCCAUACUGCUUAUAUCAUCUUUCUUUUACUUAUUCUAUGUUCAGUGUUCUAUAUACUAAGUCUUCUAACACCAUACAAUAACUUUAUAAAAACCUCUUCUUGUUUAAAUCUGGCAUGAUUCUUUCUUUGAAUCAAACUGAUACUACUUCAGUUUGAUACUGAUACUACUUCUCCAGUCUCAAAAUUAUUCAACACUUUCAUGGCAAGUAGGGCUGCAACUAACAAUUAUUUUCAUAAUCAUCCACGAACUGAGUAUUACAAAUAUAAACUUCAGACUAAAACUUUACACAACUGUUUAUCCAAUUAUGUAAGACUGAAAAGAACCCAAUACACUCAGACACACACCAGAAUAUAUAUUAUUAAUUUAGGACUGUAGUUUAAUUCAGUGCUUUUUGUGCAUCCAUAAAAAGGAAUUAGCCUGGGGAAGGGCGGCGUACAGACCCACAGGAGGCAGAAGAACGUUCACAAACGGUGGUUUAUUGGUGCAAGGGUGAAGUGAGUGGGUUGUGAGGGGAUGAGUGCGGGGCUUGUGGAGGCUUGACUGCCGGUGUAGCCUACUCGUGGUGGAGGCGGGAUUCCCGAGACGGGGGCGAGGGUUUUCCCGGGCCGGCGUCCUCCGUAGGUGGGACUCUCACCACCCGGCGAUCUUGUCCGCGCUUGCAACUUUUGUGGAGAGAGAGAGAGAGAGAGAGAGAGAGAGAGAGAGAUUAGCGUGGGGGCGUGAGGUUACCGUCGUGCUCGGUGAUUACGAAUCGCUAUGUCGCUGGAAAACACGCACGGAGUCCGUCUUGUCGCUACGGUAUUCUCUUCUCUCGUACGGCCGGAAGCGCGCCCUUUUAUCCUCCUCCGCCGUCGCCUGAGUGGUGGAAUUUCUCCGUUGUGUCCGCCAAUCGCUGGCCGGUGUUGCGUCAGUCCCGCCCCGCCGCGGCGGUCCUUCUGGCUGGCGGAAUGUUCGGCACGAAGCUGCCCACGUCGUGCCGGUGCGGCAGUUGGAGAAGGAGCGAUUUCCUUCUUGUGUGCGCCGGCUCUCUGCCCGUCGCGACAGACCUUUCUAAAAUUCAGACACUAGACGGUAGAGAAUACAGUGCAUAGUGUAAGUGUAUAGUACAUCAUUUGGGACACAACUUUAGUAUUUACGCUCCGAAGCGUGUUUUCUGAACAGAAGUAAUGUAAUGAGUAAAUGUAUCCCGUGCCGCGUGCAGACCAACUAAUCAAUAAUGAGGUCCGUUGACAACGAUUUUCAUAAUCGACUAUUUUCAAUUUUAUUGAUUAGUUGUUGCAGCUCUAAUGGCAAACAUCUUUAGUACUUAGUAGAACACCCUUUUGCUGUUAUGAUCUGCUGCAAAUGAGAUGCAUAGCCAGACACAAGCUUCUGGCAGUGUUCCCAAGAAAUCUUAGCCCAUUCCUCAUGAGCAAUGGCCUCCAGUUCAGUAAUAUUCUUGGGUUUUGCGUGCUGCAACCGCCUUCUUCAAAUCCCACCAGAGAUUUUCGUUGGGGUUCAAGUCAGGUGACUGUGAUGGCCCUGUAGAAUCUUCCAUGACUAGAAUUUGAGGUAUGCUUGGGACCAAUGGGGUAUAAGCUUGGGAUCAAGCCCAAGCUUCAUUUUCCUCACAGACAGCAUGAUAUUUUCUCCUAGGGUUUCCUGAUACUUCAAUGAAUCCAUCUUGCCUUCCACAUGCUGCAGGUUUCCAGUGUCAGAGGAUGCAAAACAGCCCCAGAGCAUCACCAAGCCACCACCAUGCUUGACUGUGGACAGAGUGUUCUUUCUUCAUUCUUCUUCCUCCAGUCAUACUGCUGUUCCAUCAUGCCAAAACGUUCCAGUUUUGUUUCAUCGCUCCACAGAAAAGAAUCCCAAAACUUCCAUGGCUUAUUUAUAUGAUUGUGAGGCCAUUUUUCUUGUGCUUUUGGUUCAGUAGUGGUUCUGGCAGUUCUGGAGACUUGGAGUUCUGCCAUGGAAACCGUGUGUGUGUGUGUGUGUGUGUGUG